rnacentral:tRNA from 2 species
GGGCGCGUGGCGGAAUGGCAGACGCUCCAGGCUUAGGACCUGGUCCCGAAAGGGGUAGGGGUUCAAGUCCUCUCGCGCCCA